AACGAACGCUGGCGGCAUGCCUAACACAUGCAAGUCGAACGAGUCCUUCGGGUCUAGUGGCGCACGGGUGCGUAACGCGUGGGAAUCUGCCCUCUGGUUCGGAACAACAGUUGGAAACGACUGCUAAUACCGGAUAAUGACUUCGGUCCAGAGAUUUAUCGCCUGAGGAUGAGCCCGCGUCGGAUUAGCUUGUUGGUGAGGUAAAAGCUCACCAAGGCGACGAUCCGUAGCUGGUCUGAGAGGAUGAUCAGCCACACUGGGACUGAGACACGGCCCAGACUCCUACGGGAGGCAGCAGUGGGGAAUAUUGGACAAUGGGCGAAAGCCUGAUCCAGCAAUGCCGCGUGAGUGAUGAAGGCCUUAGGGUUGUAAAGCUCUUUUACCCGGGAUGAUAAUGACAGUACCGGGAGAAUAAGCCCCGGCUAACUCCGUGCCAGCAGCCGCCGUAAGAC
rnacentral:rRNA from 1 species